UCAGAAAAUAGUAUACAACAUUACAUUUCGUUUACACCGAAAAAACGAUCAUCAACGAUCUCUUCUGAU
rnacentral:tRNA from 1 species